rnacentral:lncRNA from 1 species
CAUAAACAUCCCUCUUCAGAAUAAGUUCCCUCCUGCCAGCUUGGUUACACCCAGAUUCCAGCUCUUCUCUGGUGACUGUUCUGUGGGCCCCUGAGAGAGUAAUGAAAGCCUGGGAAAUACAGGCCAACCCUAGGCCAUCCUGGCAAGAACAGGAAAGAAGUUUGAAACCAUGGCUUCCCUCCCUGGCAUCAGGAGAGGGAGAACACUCAAGCCACAGCACUCCUGUUCUGGUGUAUCCUGAAUACAAGGCCAGGAUCAUCCUGCUUGAGGUAACUCUACAUCCGCACGAUCCUGGGUGGGGUGAGAGCAGUGACUGUCAGUCAGCUUCCUGGUGUGCACUCCAGAACUCUGAAGAAUAAUUGUAAAGGAAGGGCAGGCUGCCCAACAGCGACCGAAUGGAUGACUGAGGAGUGGACGACUGGGAAAGGCCCUGGAGGGCUUGAGAGAACACGGAGCUCUAUGGCUUACAGACACAAGUUGGUGGAUGCAGUUGUGAGUUAAGCUUGCCUUCCGAGUGACACUGACCUUGGUCAUGCAAGUUGCUGGGGCUCUAAAAGAAGAAAAGAUUUUAGGAAAAAGAAAAAAAAAACUUUUAAGAAAUGCAACAUUCAGCUGAAACUUGGAAGAGGUGUCUAAACAUUACUUUGGCUCGUAGCUUAGUGCACGAGAGUAGAGUGAGAGACCAGUUCGCAGAAAAGGGUUAGUUUCGAAACUCUACUGUGUGUAAGAAAGACAGCCAGAAAGCAGCUCAAGUCAACCUCAUGUGUAACCGCAGCAUCAGAAAAACAUGAGGCAGGGGCAGUUGGCAGGAGGCAUGUCUAUCUGUCUUCCAUCAGUCUGUCUAUCUAUCUAUCUAUCUAUCUAUCUAUCUAUCUAUCUAUCAUCACUUAACUAUUACAAAUUUACCCCCAUGAAAACAAUAGGGGCAGAAACCUGAGUUUUGUGGGUCUCUGUUAUGGUAAUCUUCAUUCUCAACUUGGCUGGAUUCAGAAUUACAUAGGAGCCACUCUGUGACUGUGUUCCCCAAAGGGCUAACUGAGAAGAAAAUAGCCCUAAAUGUGGGAAGCACCAUCUCUUAGGGUCCUGGACUGAAAAGGCAAAAUGGGGGUGGGGUUGGGUGGGGGAGGCUGAGCACCAGCUUCCAUCUCUCUGCUUCUUGACCACAGUCUCCUGUCAUGCCUUUCCUGCCACGAUAGAUUGCAUGCUUCCCUACCAAUGAACUUUUCUUUCUUAGGUUUCUUUUGUUAGGGAGUCUAUCAGAGCAAUGAGCAACAUAACAGUCUCCCGAUGUCAUUUUAAGUGUUAUCUACAACAGGGAGAACUCUGCUGUCCCCCUCAAUGACUAAGUCAGGCUUACAA